rnacentral:rRNA from 1 species
GGGUGGUAAUGCCGGAUGCUCCAUCACACCGCAUGGUGUGUUGGGAAAGCCUUUGCGGCAUGGGAUGGGGUCGCGUCCUAUCAGCUUGAUGGCGGGGUAACGGCCCACCAUGGCUUCGACGGGUAGCCGGCCUGAGAGGGCGACCGGCCACAUUGGGACUGAGAUACGGCCCAGACUCCUACGGGAGGCAGCAGUGGGGAAUAUUGCACAAUGGGCGCAAGCCUGAUGCAGCGACGCCGCGUGAGGGAUGGAGGCCUUCGGGUUGUAAACCUCUUUUGUUAGGGAGCAAGGCACUUUGUGUUGAGUGUACCUUUCGAAUAAGCACCGGCUAACUACGUGCCAGCAGCCGCGGUAAUACGUAGGGUGCAAGCGUUAUCCGGAAUUAUUGGGCGUAAAGGGCUCGUAGGCGGUUCGUCGCGUCCGGUGUGAAAGUCCAUCGCUUAACGGUGGAUCCGCGCCGGGUACGGGCGGGCUUGAGUGCGGUAGGGGAGACUGGAAUUCCCGGUGUAACGGUGGAAUGUGUAGAUAUCGGAAAGAAACACCA